AUUGAACGCUGGCGGCAGGCUUAACACAUGCAAGUCGAGCGGGGAAAGGUAGCUUGCUACCUGACCUAGCGGCGGACGGGUGAGUAAUGCUUAGGAAUCUGCCUAUUAGUGGGGGACAACAUCUCGAAAGGGAUGCUAAUACCGCAUACGUCCUACGGGGGAAAGCAGGGGACCUUCGGGCCUUGCGCUAAUAGAUGAGCCUAAGUCGGAUUAGCUAGUUGGUGGGGUAAAGGCCUACCAAGGCGACGAUCUGUAGCGGGUCUGAGAGGAUGAUCCGCCACACUGGGACUGAGACACGCCCCAGACUCCUACGGGAGGCAGCAGUGGGGAAUAUUGGACAAUGGGGGGAACCCUGAUCCAGCCAUGCCGCGUGUGUGAAGAAGGCCUUUUGGUUGUAAAGCACUUUAAGCGAGGAGGAGGCUACCGAGAUUAAUACUCUUGGAUAGUGGACGUUACUCGCAGAAUAAGCACCGGCUAACUCUGUG
rnacentral:rRNA from 1 species